CUUUCUCUCCUCUUCAUGGCUUCUUCUUCGUCGUCGUCUUCUUCUAGCUUAAAUACUUAUAUAAAUUCUCAACCCACCUUCUCUUUCUCGACCCAUCUGCUCAUGACUUCUUCUUCUUCUUCUUCUUCUUCUUCCUCUUUCACCAAUCUUCUUUCUACUGAUACCAAAGACAUGGACAGUAUUAGCUGGGGACUUUAUGACCAUGGAACUGAUACAAUUGGUAUUGAAAUCCCAAAAUUCAAGUCAUUUACACCUCCUUCUUUACCUCUUUCUCCUCCUCCUGUAUCCCCAUCUUCUUAUUUGGCCAUUCCUACUGGUUUAAGCCUAACAGAGCUCUUGGACUCGCCUGUACUUUUUUCCGGCUCUAAUGUUCUUCCUUCUCCAACCACUGGAGCUUUUGCUGGUCAAACUUUCAACUGGAGGAACAAUUCUAAUGACAAUCAGCGAGGUGGUAGAGGGGAAGAGAAAAGUUUCUCUGAUUUCUCUUUUCAAACCCAAACAAAUCCUACAUCAUCAUCCAUCUUUCAAUCUUCUUCAAGCCUUGUCUCUGUGGAGCAGUCAAUCAAAAGGCAACAAGAAGCAUGGAAUUUUAACAAACCCACAAAGCAAACAGAUUUCUCAUCAGAGAAGGGAGGAGUGGUGAAGUCAGAAUUUAGACCAAUGCAGAGUUUCUCCUCAGAAAUGGCUCCACUCCAAUCAAGCCUACAAAAUAAUGCUGCUUCUCAACCCAGUUACAGUCAGUAUAAUAAUCAACCAGCUCCAUAUAUGAGAGAGCAAAGAAGGUCAGAUGAUGGAUACAA
rnacentral:misc_RNA from 1 species